GACGAACGCUGGCGGCGUGCUUAACACAUGCAAGUCGAACGGCAAGGCCCUGCUUUUGUGGGGUGCUCGAGUGGCGAACGGGUGAGUAACACGUGAGUAACCUGCCCUUGACUUUGGGAUAACUUCAGGAAACUGGGGCUAAUACCGGAUAGGAGCUCCUGCUGCAUGGUGGGGGUUGGAAAGUUUCGGCGGUUGGGGAUGGACUCGCGGCUUAUCAGCUUGUUGGUGGGGUAGUGGCUUACCAAGGCUUUGACGGGUAGCCGGCCUGAGAGGGUGACCGGCCACAUUGGGACUGAGAUACGGCCCAGACUCCUACGGGAGGCAGCAGUGGGGAAUAUUGCACAAUGGGCGGAAGCCUGAUGCAGCAACGCCGCGUGCGUGAUGACGGCCUUCGGGUUGUAAACCGCUUUCGCCUGUGACGAAGCGUGAGUGACGGUAAUGGGUAAAGAAGCACCGGCUAACUACGUG
rnacentral:rRNA from 1 species